rnacentral:rRNA from 1 species
CUACCGGGGUAUCUAAUCCUGUUUGCUCCCCACGCUUUCGUGCCUGAGCGUCAGUGUCGACCCAGGGGGCUGCCUUCGCCAUCGGUGUUCCUCCGCAUCUCUACGCAUUUCACUGCCACACGCGGAAUUCCACCCCCCUCUGCCGCACUCAAGCCCGCCAGUUUCCAAUGCCAUUCCCAGGUUAAGCCCGGGGCUUUUACAUCGGACACAACGAACCGCCUGCGCACGCUUUACGCCCAGUAAUUCCGAUUAACGCUCGCACCCUACGUAUUACCGCGGCGGCUGGCAC